rnacentral:rRNA from 1 species
AGAGUUUGAUCCUGGCUCAGGACGAACGCUGGCGGCGUGCCUAAUACAUGCAAGUCGAACGAACCGCGACUGAGUGCUUGCACUUGGUCAAGGUGAGUGGCGAACGGGUGAGUAACACGUGGGUAACCUACCUCAUAGUGGGGGAUAACAGUCGGAAACGACUGCUAAUACCGCAUAGGACAUGGAAUCACAUGAUUCUGUGAGGAAAGGUGGCGCAAGCUAUCGCUAAGAGAUGGACCCGCGGUGCAUUAGCUAGUUGGUAGGGUAAAGGCCUACCAAGGCGAUGAUGCAUAGCCGACCUGAGAGGGUGAUCGGCCACAUUGGGACUGAGACACGGCCCAAACUCCUACGGGAGGCAGCAGUAGGGAAUCUUCCGCAAUGGACGCAAGUCUGACGGAGCAACGCCGCGUGAGUGAAGAAGGUCUUCGGAUCGUAAAGCUCUGUUGUUAGAGAAGAACAGCGCAUAGAGUAACUGCUAUGCGUGUGACGGUAUCUAACCAGAAAGCCACGGCUAACUACGUGCCAGCAGCCGCGGUAAUACGUAGGUGGCGAGCGUUGUCCGGAUUUAUUGGGCGUAAAGGGAGUGUAGGCGGUCUUUUAAGUCUGAUGUGAAAGCCCACGGCUCAACCGUGGAGGGUCAUUGGAAACUGGGAGACUUGAGUGCAGAAGAGGAGAGCGGAAUUCCAUGUGUAGCGGUGAAAUGCGUAGAUAUAUGGAGGAACACCAGUGGCGAAGGCGGCUCUCUGGUCUGUAACUGACGCUGAGGCUCGAAAGCGUGGGGAGCAAACAGGAUUAGAUACCCUGGUAGUCCACGCCGUAAACGAUGAGUGCUAAGUGUUGGAGGGGUUCCACCCUUCAGUGCUGGAGUUAACGCAAUAAGCACUCCGCCUGGGGAGUACGGCCGCAAGGCUGAAACUCAAAGGAAUUGACGGGACCCGCACAGCGUGGAGCAUGUGUUUAUUCGAAGCACGCGAGAACCUUACCAGGUCUUGACAUCCCGACGACCGCUCUAGAGAUAGAGUUUUUCUUCGGGA